GAAGUGUUUUGGACUUUUGAGCAGAUCUAAGACAUAUUUAAUCAAAGAACAACUCACCGAUCUCCACGUAAUGCUCUCAUCUGCGGAUACUUGUGGAUUUUUGAAGGAAAAUAGAGAAAACUACUGCAUCACCGAUGAUAGUGGACUCGACGACCUAAGCUAUCAUGAAGCUUUGAUUUCCACUGACUCGACGGUCACCGGUUCCAUCUCCGCCAAACCUAGC
rnacentral:lncRNA from 1 species